rnacentral:tRNA from 1 species
GCCUCGAUAGCAUAAUGGUUAAUGCACUACGCUCUUAACGUAGGUGAUACGGGUUCGAGUCCCGUUCGAGGCC